AUAAUACUCCAUAGAUUAGAGACACUGGAAUGUUCUUUAGUCGAAAGUUCUGGCGCCUUAGGAUGGAUCUGCGGUCGAUUAGGUUGUUGUUGGGGUAACGGCCCAACAAGCCUGUAAUCGAUACGGGUUGUGGGAGCAAGAGCCCGGAGAUGGAAUCUGAGACACGAUUCCAGGCCCUACGGGGCGCAGCAGGCGCGAAAACUUUACAAUGCAGGAAACUGUGAUAAGGGAACUCCGAGUGCCCGUAUACGCGGGCUGUCCAGGUGUUUAAAAAUCAUCUGAAGAAAGGGCCGGGCAAGACCGGUGCCAGCCGCCGCGGUAAUACCGGCGGCUCGAGUGGUGGCCACUAUUAUUGGGCUUAAAGCGUCCGUAGCUGGACCGAUAAGUCUCUUGGGAAAUCCGCCGGCUCAACCGGCGGGCGUCUAAGGGAUACUGUUAGUCUAGGGACCGGGAGAGGUGAGAGGUACUCCGGGGGUAGGAGUGAAAUCCUGUAAUCCCCGGGGGACCACCGAUGGCGAAGGCAUCUCACCAGAACGGCUCCGACAGUGAGGGACGAAAGCUGGGGGAGCGAACCGGAUUAGAUACCCGGGUAGUCCCAGCCGUAAACUAUGCGCGUUAUGUGU
rnacentral:rRNA from 1 species